rnacentral:lncRNA from 1 species
CCACUAACCCGCCCAGGAACAGGAUCUUAGUAAGAUUGUGAUCUCUUCGUACUGCUGUAAACAAAGAUUGUAAGAAGAUAUUAGUAAGAUUGAGAUCUUACUAACUAUUGUUGCAUGAGUAUUACUAAGAUCUUACUGAUUGUUGUUGAGCAUUCUGUACAACAACAACAACAUUGAUUUCAAAUUCGUUUACUGAAUUUAAAUGACGGGACUAACAGAAUUUGCUCAUGAUCAGAAACUGCUGAAAAUGCAGUGCCUACACCAUUCUAUACCAACCACACCACAAUUCAGAGAAAAAUGAAGCACAGAGCUACUCCCGACACACCACAAUUUACACAGGAUCCACCACAUUUUGGAGUAAUUUGCAGUAAGGAAUUGACAGCACUAAACAUCUUGGAAUUGACCUGCGAAGAAGAUGCCGCCGCUACCGUCGAGCUUGCAAGGGGGAGCCUUUGCUCUUGUCGUCUGGCUCGUCGCAAGGAGGAGUACAUAGUUUCAGACAAUACGUAUACCUGCGACUGGAAACGCUGCUGGACCCCAUGGAAGAACUGCUCCUCUGAUGGAGUACCUGAAAACACCCAGUUGUGUAAAGCCCAGUUCUGUACCUGAAAAUUCAGAUUGUGAAGAAUUUCCAAUCAAAGUCCAUACGAAAUUCCAAUCAAAGUACUCCAACUUAAAUGAUUCUGAAUAAAACAAGGUUCAGAACUAACAAGGUUCAGAAAUGUUGUCUCCAACUUAAAUUCAGAAUUCUACUCCUUACAGCACACCAGCGACAGAUCUUGACAUACCGGCACACCCAUCUCCUCAAGCUCCUGCACGCACAUAAUCGAUCACUUCCCCCAAUCACUACGGCAUACCGCAUCCAAGGAGUCAUACUCAGCUCGAUUUGGUACCUUCUAGAGCGACUCAC